UCUCCUGUAGCUCAGUGGUAGAACAUCCGACCGGUGUGCAGAAAGUCAUAUUAUAAUUAUAUAUUGCUUUUAUAAUUAUUAUAUAGGUCAUACGUUCGACUCCUGUUGGGGGAA